rnacentral:rRNA from 1 species
GCUAGUAAUGGCAGGUCAGCAUACUGCCGUGAAUACGUUCCCGGGCCUUGUACACACCGCCCGUCACACCAUGAGAGUUGGGAAUACCCGAAGCCUGUGAGCUUAACUUUAGGGAGGCAGCAGUCGAAGGUAGAAUCAAUGAGUUGGGGUGAAGUCGUAACAAGGUAAC